rnacentral:rRNA from 1 species
UACCUACGGGACGCAGCAGUGGGGAAUAUUGCACAAUGGGGGAAACCCUGAUGCAGCAACGCCGCGUGAGUGAAGAAGUAUUUCGGUAUGUAAAGCUCUAUCAGCAGGGAAGAAGAUGACGGUACCUGACCAAGAAGCCCCGGCUAACUACGUGCCAGCAGCCGCGGUAAUACGUAGGGGGCAAGCGUUAUCCGGAUUUACUGGGUGUAAAGGGUGAGUAGGCGGCAUGGUAAGCCAGAUGUGAAAGCCUUGGGCUUAACCCGAGGAUUGCAUUUGGAACUAUCAAGCUAGAGU